AGGAUAGCUCAGCGGUAGAGCAGAGGACUCAUAAGCCUUUGGUCGGUGGUUCGAAUCCACUUCCUG
rnacentral:tRNA from 1 species